rnacentral:rRNA from 1 species
AGCAUAUCAAUAAGCGGAGGAAAAGAAACUAACAAGGAUUCCCCUAGUAACUGCGAGUGAAGCGGGAAAAGCUCAAAUUUAAAAUCUGUCAGCUUUGGCUGUCCGAGUUGUAAUCUAGAGAAGUGUUAUCCGCGCUGGACCGUGUACAAGUCUCCUGGAAUGGAGCGUCAUAGAGGGUGAGAAUCCCGUCUUUGACACGGACUGCCAGGGCUUUGUGAUGCGCUCUCAAAGAGUCGAGUUGUUUGGGAAUGCAGCUCAAAAUGGGUGGUAAAUUCCAUCUAAAGCUAAAUAUUGGCGAGAGACCGAUAGCGAACAAGUACCGUGAGGGAAAGAUGAAAAGAACUUUGGAAAGAGAGUUAAACAGUACGUGAAAUUGCUGAAAGGGAAACGCUUGAAGUCAGUCGCGUUGUCCAGGGAUCAACCUUGCUUUUGCUUGGUGUACUUUCUGGUUGACGGGUCAGCAUCAAUUUUGACUAUUGGAAAAAGGUCAGGGGAAUGUGGCAUCUUCGGAUGUGUUAUAGCCCUUGGUUGUAUACAAUGGUUGGGAUUGAGGAACUCAGCACGCCGCAAGGCCGGGUUUUUAACCACGUACGUGCUUAGGAUGCUGGCAUAAUGGCUUUAAUCGACCCGUCUUGAAACACGGACCAAGGAGUCUAACAUGCCUGCGAGUGUUUGGGUGGAAAACCCGAGCGCGUAAUGAAAGUGAAAGUUGAGAUCCCUGUCAUGGGGAGCAUCGACGCCCGGACCAGACCUUUUGUGACGGUUCCGCGGUAGAGCAUGUAUGUUGGGACCCGAAAGAUGGUGAACUAUGCCUGAAUAGGGUGAAGCCAGAGGAAACUCUGGUGGAGGCUCGUAGCGAUUCUGACGUGCAAAUCGAUCGUCAAAUUUGGGUAUAGGGGCGAAAGACUAAUCGAACCAUCUAGUAGCUG